UUGGUCUCAACCUCCAGCCCGUUAACCGCACCGUACCCUCAAUUUGCCGUCAAUCUUUAUCCGAAACCACAUGACCAAAAACUCGUCCCACUGUCUCCUCUCUUCAAGCACUUUCGUCAGCACGGCAGGGGAAGUGGGUGUAGGGGCAAAGGCAAAACGCAAAUGUCAAGACAAACGAAUGAACAGGCGAACCGAGGAACGAACGAACGAAAGAGCGAACGCAAUGGAACGAGCAGUGGGUGGUGGACAGGCAGGCAGGCAUAGCAUUGAGUGC
rnacentral:lncRNA from 1 species